GACCUGAUAGCAUAACUGGUAGUGCUUCUGCUUUGAAUAGUUGCAAACUGGGACAGUUUAAGUAGAUGAUUUCUGUUCGAUUCAGGGUUAGGUCA